GCGGGUAUAGCUCAGAUGGUAGAGCACCAGAUUGUGGCUCUGGUUGUCGCGGGUUCGAUCCCCGUUGCUCGCC
rnacentral:tRNA from 1 species